rnacentral:rRNA from 1 species
GAUGAACGCUGGCGGCGUGCUUAACACAUGCAAGUCGAACGAAGCACUUAAACCUGAUUCUUCGGAUGAAGGUUUUUGUGACUGAGUGGCGGACGGGUGAGUAACGCGUGGGUAACCUGCCUCAUACAGGGGGAUAACAGUUAGAAAUGACUGCUAAUACCGCAUAAGACCACAGAGCCGCAUGGCUCAGUGGGAAAAACGCCGGUGGUAUGAGAUGGACCCGCGGCUGAUUAGGUAGUUGGUGGGGUAACGGCCUACCAAGCCAACGAUCAGUAGCCGACCUGAGAGGGUGACCGGCCACAUUGGGACUGAGACACGGCCCAAACUCCUACGGGAGGCAGCAGUGGGGAAUAUUGCACAAUGGGGGAAACCCUGAUGCAGCGACGCCGCGUGAGCGAAGAAGUAUUUCGGUAUGUAAAGCUCUAUCAGCAGGGAAGAAAAUGACGGUACCUGACUAAGAAGCACCGGCUAAAUACGUGCCAGCAGCCGCCGUAAAAC